rnacentral:rRNA from 1 species
UACGUAGGGUGCAAGCGUUGUCCGGAAUUAUUGGGGCGUAAAGAGCUUGUAGGCGGUUUGUCGCGUUCUGAUCGUGUCGAAAAUUUCGGGGCUCAAGCCCCGGAACUUGCAGUGGGUACGGGCAGACUAGGAGUGUGGAAGGGGCGAUUGGAAUUCCGUGAUGUAGCGGUGAAAUGCGAUGAGAGUAUACGGAGGAACACCAGGGGGCGAAGGCGGAUCGCUGGGCCAACACUGAACGCUGGAUGAUGCGAAAGCUACGGGGAGCAAAGCGGG